CAAAUAGUUAAAAGCCCCUCUCCCGAUCCCCUUUUGUGCAGCCGCUGCUCCUCUUCGGUUGCUCCACGGAGCCGUCGCCAACUGAGGGGAUGAUGGCCGGACGGCGAACUCACCGAGGCACGGCUGUUGGAGCGAACUAAUCCGGAGGGGGUCAGGACUAUUUUGCGCCGCCGCGGAGGCGGCGGCGCUAGAGGCAGGUCGAGCGGAGGCGACAGCGUCGGGCGACGGGGUGGUGCAAACGGUGGGGGCCGCCCGGCUCGAGCGACAGUGGCGCCGAAGGCGGUUUGAGCGGAGGCGACGACGCCGGGUGACGAGGCAGCCCAAACGGCGGCGGCGCCAGAGGUGGGUCAAACGGAGGCGACGGCGCUGGGCGCCGCGGAGGCCCGAGUGGAGGGCGGCGACGACAAUGCGUGGCGGGCCUUCCUCCGCGCUGCCCCCCCUCGCUGGCUGCCGGCUCCCGAAGCUCCGCCUUCACCGCUCUGUUCCUCCCCAGCUCCGCCGCUCUCCCUCCCCAUCUGCAGCUCGACGGCACCGGCGGCGGCUUGACGACGGCCGCUCCGUGCCCCUCCUCGCCAGAUCCGGCCUUAAGGUCGCCGGAUCUGGCCUUGGGAGGCGGUGGCGGCGGUGGCGGCUUGAAGGCGGCAGCAGCAGAUCGAAGGCUGCGGCAGCGGCUCGACUGCGGGAGCAGCAGCUCGAAGGCGGCGGCGGCGGCUCGACUGCAGGAACGGCUCGACGACAGCCAGCCCGCGCCCCCUCUACAGUGCAGUAGAGGUCCCAUCGAUCGGUAACAUCGAUUCACUGAUUCUUCCACAUCUCUCCCUUGCGCCGCUUCGUCGCCCACAUUCACUGAUUCUUGGAAGCACAAACGAAAGGAUCACAUAUAGUAUCCUAUCAUAAUAUUAACAAUGUUGGACCAUACUUUUGGUGGGUGCUGCAUGCAGUUAUUAUUAUCAAAGCCAUGAAAGGUUCAAGGCUUCCAGCUGGUUGGCAAUUGCUCUUCAGGGUUUCUCUACCUGUUAACUGUUAUUGCCUGAUAUUAUUUCAGUUUUUUGGGCAUGGGCACAUGGCAGAUACCACAAUGUGAGGCAAACAUUGGACCUUAGCUAACAUAAAUGAAUAUGUGAUGCCACUUUCACUGAUGCUUCUAUGACCACUAGUCCGGUGUGGGAUAUGCAUGCUCUUCAUUACUGUAUAUGGCAUGCUCUUCAUCAAGGUUAAACCGUGGAUCUAUUUUCCUUUUAUUAUUGGUGGCUAUAAAAUAGAUUGAUGCUAAUUAAUGGCAAGUUUGCGAAAAUACUGAACUCUCAUAUCUCCAGGAUUGGCUAUAAAAUCGUCAGUUCUGGGUCAUGGAACAGUAAACCUUAAUUUCUAUUUGUUUUUGCUAAUGGCCAAUCUGUAUAGAUUAAUUGUAAAACAUACACAAUAUGAGUUGCCACUGUGGUUAGGGUUGCGAUCUGCGGUUAGGGUUUGGGUAUGGAAUAGAGCAAGUGUGAUGGCCAAUGUGCAUGACAGAGUCAGCUCCACUAACCAAUGUCUCUAGAUAUGGUUCUACUCUGUGAUCUCCCCCAUCAUCUCCGUCAUGGAUUAGGUCUAAGCUUGAUUUAGGUGUGUGGCUGUCCAGCCAUCUGCGCUCCUCCAAUGGCAUGCUGCUGGAUAUGCAGCCAUCUCCAGCUUGGUUAUUCUCUGCUGAAAAAAAAUUAAUCCCUCCUAUCACAUCUAACAUUUGCUUCGACCCAUGACAAUGCUUGGUUUGGUAUGCCUUUUUUCACCAUCCUUUACUCUACAAUCCAUGAUUUGCAUUCAUUGUUUACAAGGUAAAUUUAUUGAAGAGUGGUCUGUUCUUUUGCGCUGCAGCAUUGUAUUGCUCAGAAGCUAUUUUCCAGUCAUCAAAAUCUCAUUUGGAUAAGCAGCUGUGUUCUGCUAUAUAUUUUUUUUGUCCACUGACUCUGUGAACAACCCCGCCAAUUAUACUAAAACCAAACAAAGGUACAUGAAGAACAAUCCGCCUGCAAAAUCAUUUCUAUCAAACACAUUCUUCACUUUUUAUUCAAGAGCUAAUAGACAAACCUUUCUAAGACGUAUCGUGUCUUGAUGCAUCUAUUUACAUGUGUCCUGACCGGUUUCUUUACUUCCAGAAAACAAUCCUUUGCAUAAUAAUAUUUGUACAGAUUCCAUUGGAAACUAUCCUUUUCAGAAAACACUACUUUUCAUUAGCCAUGUUAUUUCCCUUUUGCCGACCUGACAGUAAUAGAAGGAAAAACAGUUGUAGUUUCAUUAUUUCAAACUCAAUCGCACGUAUGCAGCUAUAUAUAUGGGCUAUAUAUAUGGGCUAUGGUUUAAGUAGGUGGACCUACUCUUGCUUCAAUCUUUCUUUGUGGUAUAGCAUUUGAGAAACAUUAGUUAGAAUGUUGCAUAAGUGUAGAAUUGAAGAACUGGUGUACCUUCCGGUUUCAUGAAACAUUACUGUUGCCUACGAA